UGGGGAAUCUUCGGCAAUGGACGAAAGCCUGACCGAGCAACGCCGCGUGAGUGAAGAAGGUUUUCGGGUCGUAAAACGCUGUUGUUAGGGAAGAACAAGGACGUUAGUAACUGAACGUCCCCUGACGGUAUCUAACCAGAAAGCCACGGCUAACUACGUGCCAGCAGCCGCGGUAAUACGUAGGUGGCAAGCGUUGUCCGGAUUUAUUGGGCGUAAAGCGAGCGCAGGCGGUUUCUUAAGUCUGAUGUGAAAGCCCCCGGCUCAACCGGGGAGGGUCAUUGGAAACUGGGAGACUGGAGUGCAGAAGAGGAGAGUGGAAUUCCAUGUGUAGCGGUGAAAUGCGUAGAUAUAUGGAGGAACACCAGUGGCGAAGGCGGCUCUCUGGUCUUUAACUGACGCUGAGGCUCGAAAGCGUGGGGAGCAAACAGG
rnacentral:rRNA from 1 species